rnacentral:lncRNA from 1 species
GUUCAGGUACUGACUUCAAUCAAGUUGAGGAUUUUAAGUGAGAUCUUCAAUCAAGUGAAUCCCAUCUAACAUAGACUGGAUACAAUCCAUUCAAGACUUCCACUAUACUAACAUUUUCUUUCUACAGGACCCCACAUGACUAUCGUCAUCCCAUUUCAGCAGGAAGUAACUUGGAGGAUGCUACACUCCCUUUCCCCAUUGUUGUCACUUAGGACAAUGUAUAUACCUAGUUAGGGAUAGAUUCCUAUUGUUUAUAGUUGGGAUUGGAAGGAGGUGCUCAGGCUUAGACACCUCUUUCAGAUGACUUUAGGGUUUAGUUAAAAUAGAUAGUUAGGAUAUGACAUAAGCAGAUUGUAGUAUCUUCUUAUAUUUCACCUUUAUGAUUGUUAAUUUUGGAUACUUUACACUGUUAAGUUUUAAUCCUCUUUUAGACUAAAAGGGGAAUUGUAGGGGAAGCUGUAGCCAUGCCUACUUAGGGGCUGGCUACAGUGUGCCUGACCACGCUUGUGAGGGCGUGGUCAGGGUGACAUAGAGGACACUUUCAGGGGAUUGCGUUUCUCUUUUGGUUUCACUUUGGUACUUGCUGGACAGACUGCUGCCAUGCCGGUUGCUCUAUACACACAGUAGAGGGAAUAUAAACAAGGCUAUGAAGCAUACAAAGAAGAGAUUCUCUUUCAUUUCCCAGACCCUUGCUGAAUUCUUUCACCCACAGGAUCUCAUUAAAGCCUCAGAAACACCUUGUAAUCUGGCCUCUGACUCUUUGGGUGUCAGUCUCAUGGAUGUGGACAGAUUUCUGUACCUUUCAACUAAAAGCAAGAUGUCUACUCUGAGUUUAUUUUUAAGGAUUUAUGGUUGAACAUCAAUGAUAUUUCAUCACAAUGAGACCACUGGAGCUGUAUUGAUUGUAGAGAGCUACAUUGAAGGAAGAUACAAGUAGCGUCCUGAUCAUCCUCUUCAUUCAACCCCCAUCUCCACUUUUAGUUGCCUAAAUUGUGAACACCAUGUAUUUCUUCAGCCUGAAAAUGUGUGAUCCACAUCAUCUGACAGUGUUAUAUGAUCCACUCACUGACCCAGUUUGGGAAAACACUCACUUUGAACCAACCAGCUUGGUCAGAGGCUCGGAAAGACAUUUUCUUAUAAGAAGAAAAAGAGGAGCCACAUAAUUUCAUCGACUUUUUAUGACCAACAGGAAAGGCCUCCAUGUAAUGAGCAAGUUGCAAGAGCUUCAUUGGAUUCCUAAUUAUUCUCUCUCUUCUGCUCCUUACCCUCCAUGAAUCUCAACCAGCAUCACUUCCCCUUGACCAUCUUGUCUCCUUCUCAUCCUUCAGUGCCCAGUGGAUCCUGCCUUCUGAGAUGUUCUCACCAACUACUUAAAAUAAAAAGUGAGCCAGUCUGGAAACAGUGCUCUAUUGGUACAGUGUUUGCCUAGCAUGCAUGAUGCCCUGGGUUCAACCCCCAGCACCACAUAAAACCAGUCAUGGUGCCACAUGUCUGUGAUCCUAGCAAUUGGGAAGUAGCAGCAGAAGAAGCAGGGACAUUCAUUCUUGACUAUAUUACAAACUGAAGGGUGGCUUGGAAUGCAUGAGAAUGCAUGAGAGGUACCUCAAAAAAAACUGCCUAGGUCCAAAUCAAUAACCUUAAAUUUGAUGUUGCCAUUUCUCUCAUUAAACUUUCAGUCAUCCAGCAGAGUUCUUAUCAAACACUGAGUACACCCUGGAUGAGGGAAGAUUAAGAAAACAAUGGAAAUAAUAAGAGCUCGAAUUGGUUAUGUGAUCACCGAAUGCUACCUCUAAUGUCUUGAUACCUGAGUUUUCAUUUAAUU